GAUGCAGCUGUCAAAGCUCCUUUUCUUAAGAAAUGCCUGGAAGCAGGACUUCUUACUGAAUUAUUUGAACAGAUACAACAAAAAAUGAUUUCAAUUCAUGGAAGAUUCAUGGAUGAGACUGCUUCAGAGUCAGACUAUGAAGGGAUCGAGACCUUAGUGUUUGGCUGUGGACUAUUUAAAGACACAUUAAUAAAAUUAGAAGAAGCAAUCAAGAGCAAAGCUUGUGAAUGUGAAGAAAGGCUGAACCAGAUGAAGCAGCAGCUUGAGUUACUUGCAGAUUUACAACAAAACCUGCGCUCAUUUCAAGAAUGUGGGGUCCUGGAUCCCUCAGGCUCUACUUCAGGGUCCUUGCUACCUCCUGAGGACCACCAGUGCAGAUGCCAGGAGUCUCCUGAAGUGCAAGCAGGCUCAGGAGACAGCCUGUGACAGAUCCAGUCCCCUCCAGCUCUGACCUGCUACUGCUCAGCCAGGCUCCAUACCUGACAGGUUGUUUCUUGGCUCCUCUCUUGUCAUCUCACUUGUCCUGCCUUCUCCUGACAGUAACAGCUGUUCCUCCAGUCAACUGGAUCAGGCCCCCAUGUCCUCUAAGGAGCAGGAAGUCCUCCUACCUACCCUACCCACCCUAGUCAGGGGCAGCCACACCACAGCCUUUGCUCAUCCUUUUGUGGAAUCUUAGAGCUUUCUUCUUGCUUCUGCUACUCCUGCAGUAGGUCUGUGUCAUCAUGGUCUCCUCUCAGUAUUAGUGACUUCAUCAGAAUGGAGCAGAGCCUCACUCCUGUGCAUAGCUCGCUGGUACCCUGGGUUUCUGCUCACUACCACCUUCCCAACAUUGAGCACACUUAAUAAAUGCUUGACAAAACGC
rnacentral:lncRNA from 1 species